AUCAAACAUGAAAAUAUGAAUUUUUGGAUGUUUUUCUUUUCUUUUCCUAAUAUUUUUCAAGACGCAGAGGAAAAAAGAAGCGCUUAAAGAUUUGACAUAAUUUCUUUUAACGUGCGAAGCAGAAGUCCACAAGGCUACGAUGAAAGCUUGAGAAGCAGCGUCGCUGAUGCGUUUUAAAGUUUCUUAAAGCUCUUGGCCUCGAAAGGAAGAGACAUGCAAUCUAUCUCGACACAAACUCUUCAACCAUGGCAGAAGCAUCUCCCUCCGUUGCAUUAGACAGGUAUGCGCUUGUUACAGGAGCAAAUAAAGGUAUUGGAUUGGAGAUAUGCAGGCAGUUGGCUUCUAAUGGAAUUGUGGUGGUGUUGACUGCUAGAGAUGAGAAGAGAGGCCUUGAAGCUGUUCAAAAACUUAGAGAUUCAGGCUUCUCUAAUUAUGUGCUUUUUCAUCAGCUUGAUGUGGCAGACCCAAUUAGUAUUGCUUCCCUUGCAGACUUCAUCAAGACAAAAUUUGGAAAGCUUGAUAUCUUGGUGAACAAUGCUGCAAUUGGUGGAGCCAUAAUGGAUGCUGAUACUUUAAGAGCAUGGGUUGUUAAUGGGAGCAGGGCAGGUAUGCAAAUGACCCAGACUUACGAGAUGGCGGAAGAAUGCCUAAAAACGAACUACUACGGUGCAAGAAGAAUGGUUGAAGCAUUCAUUCCCCUCCUCCAGUUAUCCAAAUCAGCACGGAUUGUUAACGUGACCUCCGGCGCAGGGAUGUUAAAGAACAUAGAGAAUGAAUGGGCUAAACGGGUGUUAACUGAUGUUGAGGGCCUCACAGAAGAAAGAGUGGAGGAGGUGUUGAAUGAGUUUCUAAAGGAUUUCAAGGAUGGGUCGUUAGAAUCCAAAGGCUGGCCUGGUGUUUUCUCUGCCUAUUCAGUUGCUAAAGCAGCCAUGAAUGGCCACACGAGGAUUCUGGCCAAGAAAUACUCAACCUUUCGCAUCAAUUGUGUGUGUCCCGGCUAUGUCAAAACUGAUAUAAACUACAACACUGGCUUCUUAACUGUUGAAGAUGGCGCUGACAGUGCUGUGAGGUUAGCAUUGUUGCCAGAUGAUGGGCCUUCUGGCCUCUUCUUUUCUCGUGGGGAAGUGUCAACCUUCUGAUCAAAGAGGGUGAAUUAUAAAAUCCCUUAUGCUUAUGCCAUAGUGCGUGUAGUGAAAUAAUUUCUUAAAAUAAAAAUGCUCGAAUCAGGAUGCUGUAUGUAAAACAAUUGGCUCGUGAAUCUUAUUUGUAAUGCCAUUUUAUGGUGUGCACAAUGUAAUCUAAUAUUGCUCAAAAAUCAUAUAUGUAAGUCUCAGGCUGGCAAAAAUAUUGAAGCUUUUAUAAAAUGCUUGAAUCAGGCUUCAUUAGCAGCUCAA